AAAAAGCCAUGGCUCACUCACCCUAAAAACUGCAUUCACCUUGUUUAGCAUUUUCUGCUCAAAAUCUCAAAGGCCUCGAUCAACUCUUGCUUCUCUCAUGCUUUAGCCAUCUUUGUGAGCUCAUUUGAACUAUCAAACCCUUGCUGUAACUGUAUCUCCCUGCCCUGUUUUCUUCAAGUCCAAACAAUGGUGAAAUCGAGAUUUGGGAUUUCAAGCAAGUGUGAGCUGGUUUUCU
rnacentral:lncRNA from 1 species